rnacentral:rRNA from 1 species
UACAGAGGGUGCAAGCGUUGUUCGGAAUUAUUGGGCGUAAAGGGCGCGUAGGCGGUGCCACAAGUCACCUGUGAAAUCUCCGGGCUUAACUCGGAGCCUGCAGGCGAAACUGUGGUGCUGGAGUGUGGGAGAGGUGCGUGGAAUUCCCGGUGUAGCGGUGAAAUGCGUUGAUAUCAGGAGGAACACCCAUGGCGAAGGCAGCAAACUGGUCAUCAACUGACGCUGAGGCGCGAAAGCGUGGGUAGCAAACAGG